rnacentral:rRNA from 1 species
CCAAUAGCGUAUAUUAAAGUUGUUGCAGUUAAAAAGCUCGUAGUUGAAUUUCGGGAUCAUCAGGUCGGUCGUGCCUCUGGUAUGUACUUGCUUCGAUGGUCCCUCCUUCUUGAAGAACCGUAAUGCCAUUAAUUUGGUGUUGCGGGGAAACAGGACUGUUACUUUGAAAAAAUUAGAGUGUUUAAAGCAGGCAAUCGCUUGAAUACAUUAGCAUGGAAUAAUGAAAUAGGACGUUCGAUCCUACUUUGUUGGUUUCUAGGAUUGACGUAAUGAUUAAUAGGGAUAGUUGGGGGCAUUAGUAUUCAAUUGUCAGAGGUGAAAUUCUUGGAUUUAUUGAAGACUGACUACUGCGAAAGCAUUUGCCAAGGAUGUUUUCAUUAAUCAAGAACGAAAGUUAGGGGAUCGAAGACGAUCAGACACCGUCGUAGUCUUAACCAUAAACUAUGCCGACUAGGGAUCGGAUGAUGUUAAUUUUUUAAUGACUCAUUCGGCGCCUUACG